ACUCUACUACCUACCUACCUUAAGUGAAUGAAUUAGUUCGAAAUUUAAAAGCGCCGUAUACCGGAAGCGUCAAUGAUUGUGGUAAAGGUAAAAUCCCAGAUUUGAAAAACUUUAACCUCUUUUUUUGAAAAUUGAAACCAAUCGACUUUAUUUGGUAUUUUUUGCUUGUGAUAUCUGUUUUGUUUUAAUUUAUUUUAAUAUGAAAUGACUGUGUAUUUUAAAGUGGCAGUCAAUUAAUUUGUUUUCACAUUUAAUUCAAUGAGGACCAUUUGACAAGUAUUUUUCAAAUCUGUGAUUCUAUGAACCCUGUGAUAAUAAUAUGUAGCGUCAUUAUCUCAUCUCUCCCUAGAAAAUGUACUGAGUUCAAAUAUAAAUAUUGUAAUAGUAUAAUAUCUUAAUCUUUUAAAAAAGUAAUGCUAUUUCGCAUUUUUGAUGUUGCUAUACUAUUUCAUGCUAAUAUUUUAGAUGUGUCAGUCUCUGUGUUUGUUAUUUUUUUACACUGAACCGAUUAAAAUAUAAUUCUGAAAUGUUUUUGCUGGGUCCUGGUAUUUAGUAAAUGUUUUUAAAAGUUUUUCUUAGUUACGAACCAUUUUUAAGGUUCUUUAUAGCUUCCUAUCUUAAUCCUAAUAUUUGUGCUCAGUAAAUUUUCUAUCCAUUUUCAUCCUACGUAGUUUUAAUAGAUCUAAAUUCUAAUCAAUUAUGCCCUUAAUCAAUUAUAUCAAUUGAUAUUUAACCUUAGUGUCAUUAAAUUAGAACAUAAUAUCCCAUGCAUUGUGUUUCGGAAUUCUUAGAAAACUUAUUGUCUCUUUCUGUUACAACUGGAAGGCUCUUGCAAGAAAGAGAUAGAAUGCACAAUUAUGCUCGAAAAUGUCAGUAAUUAUAGUUUAAUAAAAUAAAAGACCAAAGCGUAUAGAAUUAUUAAUUUCUUAUUAAACUUGAAUUUAAAAAUAUACAUAAAACUUUAAAAUAAAAACAUUUGAUGUUCCUUAAAGUAUAAAAUUUACUUAAACGUAAUUAUAUUUACAUUAUUUAGUAUAUGAAUGUUAAUUUAUAGGUCAUUUUGUUGUUAAAAAUAUAAGACGAUAAUAUUGAAUAGUUCUGACAUUAAAUUUUGUUCUAUUUAUUUCGGGAAUGAUAAUAUGUUUUCGUAACAAUGUGGUGAGAAAAUCUUAUGAUUUGUUGUACUAUACUUUGUGCACAGAAUAUAGUCGAGUCAUUUAUUUGUAAUGGGGUCUUAAACCCCAUUCAGACCUUUCACAGUAAUAUUUAUUUUUAAUCGCAUAAUAUUUUUAACAAACAAUUGACCUUGAACUUAAAUUUCGUCCAAUAAUUUUACAAGCGUUCAUCUUGAAAUGUUAACGAUUAUUAUAUUUAAGUGCGCACAUUACAAAUUAUAUUAAGUUAUUGCUAAUAGAGAUGUAACCAAAAAUGGCCCCUAUAUGACUAAGUUAUCAUUUAAUUUAGCCUCAAGAAAAUGCGGUAAAUAUAGGCAUUAUAAUAAACUUUAUUGAUGUCUGCAUAUUAUUGUCAAUGAUGCAGGAAAGCCAGGAAUAUAAUAUUUCCUAAAUUUUUUAGAUAAUACUUUUCGAGAAGCUAAAGAAAGUAUUAGUAACACUUUUUAACAAGGCUACUUUUACCUGCUUUAAAAAACUAAUUAUAUUUUUAAUUUUUACGUUUUAUAGUCAUGUAGAGGCCAGAAAAAUGUCUAGGAGUAUGGAGUUACAAAAAGACGUAUGUAAAUGAAGUUUUUGAUGUUAUGGUCCGGUCGCAGUACAGAGAGAAAUGCGUCCAUUGACCUAUUGCUAUCUCAAUCAUACAAUAAAUAUUAAAUAUUUUUAUCUCUUGCACGCGCAUAUUAUACGAGCAACAGUCUAAUAUAUUUGUGUGCGUGUAAAAGAGACAAGUAGAUAUAGAUCAAUGACGAAUCUCUUUAUCCGGUGACCAGAUUUUACAACAUAAUUUAUAUUGUAUUGAAUUAUCAAAUUCAUUUUGUCCGAAUUGUAUGUCAAAGAAAUUAGCUCAAUAGAAUAAAACUAUAACAUCGUAGCAAUAUUAUGUACAGAUGUUUUUUGAGCAAAUCAUUUUGUAUCUUUGUUCAUUUUUGUAUAAUCUGUAUAAUAUAUGUGCCAACAAUAGAUAGAAAUUGUAGCUCCUACUCGGUAAACACAAUAAAAUGAUAUUACGAAUUA